AGCUCAUUCGACACAGACACAGCGGCAGUGAUCUCAGAUCAGAUGUUUCCUCUUCAUUUCAUCACAUGCUGAAGAAAACACUUUACUUGUUAUUAUUUGAUAACACAGAGGUAAAUGUUAGAGUAAUGGAUGAAUGGGAGAACAUAUAUGGAGCAUCACGAACCGCAGGAUAAACACAUGAAGAAGAGAAAAAGAGAAAAAUUGUAACAAAGAGGACAAAAUGUUACAAUCUAAAGAAGCAAAGAAACCGAGUCUGUUCAGACGGAGCAGUAUUAAUAGCGGCAGACCAAACUUUUCUGACAUCGCAGAGUUUCAAAGAGACACAGACAAGGAUGCAGCGGUUCUGUUCAUCUAAUCUGCAGAAUAUUCCCCAUGUUCAGCCACUGAUUGAUGUAUAGAGAAUAUGUAGAAAAUGGUAUUAUAUUUAUAAAUUAGAUUUCAAAUAGACUUUUAUAAUAAUCACUGAUGUAAUAAGUGUUUAUGCUGUAUGUUACUAUAUGAAUUAAUUUACUGUACAAAAUAAACCUGGUCCGAAAAGAAAAGAACUGUGUUAA